AAUUUCCAUGCCCUUGUCAAUAGAAUAUAACUAUAAAUGUUCUCUUGUAUGUUCAAAAUUUUGAAUGAACCUAAAUUUAGUUGUUCUGAAUUCCAGGACUGUCAGUCUGGGAGAAGUACAGAGUGGAAAGCUUGUGAACAGCAGAAUGGUGGUUGUAAGAUUUACUGAGCAGGAGGCCAGUGUCCCAUCCAUGAUUGCCAAAGUAAAAGAUGCCUUAGGAAGCGAUGAACAACUCAUCCUGACAAACCACAAUGGAGUGGAAAUAUUGGACUCAGAAGGAACAAGAGGCACCUUUUAUUGGAAGCAGAACUCGCGAAAAAUCAUGGCUGUACCAGAGGUUGAUUUCCAAGCUGUACAACAAAAGAGGCGAAGAAUCUCACGCAGAGAUGAUGAGGGUGGACUGGACAGUAUGUUCGAGAAGAUCUAGGAGCUUGUCCUGGCUGCUCAGGGUUUGUCUGAGGUGACAACUGCCAUUCAGGGACUCUGGUUCAUCGAAACGGGAACACAACAUUAGUACUGACCGAAAAAAAAGUCCCGGAAUGUUAGGGAUACAUUCACUUGUCUAGUUUGCAGAGGAAUCAUAGAAGAUCCAGUAUUUGCAGCAUGCUGUGGAAGUUUGGUCGGAUGCAGAUCCUGCACUACUGUGUGGCUUCAGAAUUCCUCAAAGUGUCUAGCAGAUGAUUUUUCCAUCAACAUUCACAGAGUCACUGGCCUUUCUGGUGUAGUAAAUGUCAUGAGAGAGCUGGCACGCGAAGAGUAAAUGCUGCUUUUCUGCUUGCCACCAAUCCUUACUUGUCAGUGUUAUAUCAUUUUAUAAAUACUUAUUGAUAUUGAGGAUUGAUAUUUUUACGUUGCAUCAAUGUUCUUAGCUCUGGAGUAUUAAGAGCUAGAAAAUGUAACGAUGUUUUAUGUUACAUCAUUGUUCCCACCUCACAGUAGUUUUAUAAGAGCUAGUAGGCCUAAAUGUGGCAAGAUGUUUUUAUGCUACAUUAUUGUUCUCAGCCCACAGUGAUUUUAUAAGAGCUAGUAGGUCUAAAUGUGGCAAUAUGUUGUGACAGGCUCUUCUGUGGAGAUUUGCUAAGCUAGACUUACUUUGUUUACACAAUUUAUGUGUCUCUGAUUAUUCUUUCUGUACAAAAGCAAAAUAAAUAUAUUUUUU